rnacentral:tRNA from 1 species
AUUUAUAUAAUAUAAAUUAAAGUAUAUUUAACUUCCAAUUAAAAUGUUUAUCUUAAUAAUAUAAAUA